rnacentral:tRNA from 1 species
GUUUUUGUAGCUUAAAUGAAAGCGAGAAACUUUUAAUUUCUUGAUGCAUAGUAGUGCCGAAAGCU